rnacentral:rRNA from 8 species
ACUCUCGGCAACGGAUAUCUUGGCUCUCGCAUCGAUGAAGAACGUAGCAAAAUGCGAUAGCUGGUGUGAAUUGCAGAAUCCCGUGAACCAUCGAGUCUUUGAACGCAAGUUGCGCCUGAAGCCGUCAGGCCAAGGGCACGCCUGCCUGGGCGUCA